UCCCCGAUGGUGUAAUGGUAACAUACCUGGUUUUCAUUAGAAGAUCUGAGAUUCGCAUCUCUCCCAGGCGCCCCGGGUUCAAUUCCCGGUCGAGGAA